GCAAUAGCUCCGUUGGUUAGAGCGUGGUGCUCAUCAUGCCAAGGUUGCGGGUUCAAUCCCCGUAAAGGACAUCUGAAACC